UUUUGUUUCAUUUCAGCUUGCUAUUUUUGUGUCCCUCCUGCCCCCACCUCUUCAGCAUAUCCUACGACUGGCUAGACUGGGGUUCUCUAAGUGAGGCGAGACUAUGUGAAUUACCCAACUGCAAUCCUGUUUCAGUGCUGGAAGAUGCUAUGGAGGUCCCUGGAGAAGUUGAAGACCUUGCCAAACGUGCCCCAUUGACUGAUAACCACAACACAAGGUUUAGCCGGGAGCAUCCAUCUGACCAUGGAUUUGAGCUAUCCAUUGGGACCUGGUGAGUUCAUCAAUGAGUCCACAAGUGAAGAUGAUGACUUCGUCUUUCCCACUGUCUACUAACAGCCAAUAGUUCACAGUAAGGAGUGGGACUCCAUUAGCCUCUCACCUAACCAUGAUUGGUUGCUAAUACAGAUGGUCUUCUGCAA